rnacentral:rRNA from 1 species
GACGAACGCUGGCGGCGUGCUUAACACAUGCAAGUCGAACGGAAAGGCCCUGCUUUUGUGGGGUGCUCGAGUGGCGAACGGGUGAGUAACACGUGAGUAACCUGCCCUUGACUUUGGGAUAACUUCAGGAAACUGGGGCUAAUACCGGAUAGGAGCUCCUGCUGCAUGGUGGGGGUUGGAAAGUUUCGGCGGUUGGGGAUGGACUCGCGGCUUAUCAGCUUGUUGGUGGGGUAGUGGCUUACCAAGGCUUUGACGGGUAGCCGGCCUGAGAGGGUGACCGGCCACAUUGGGACUGAGAUACUGCCCAGACUCCUACGGGAGGCAGCAGUGGGGAAUAUUGCACAAUGGGCGGAAGCCUGAUGCAGCAACGCCGCGUGCGGGAUUACGGCCUUCGGGUUGUAAACCGCUUUCGCCUGUGACGAAGCGUGAGUGACGGUAAUGGGUAAAGAAGCACCGGCUAACUACGUG